rnacentral:rRNA from 1 species
UACGUAGGGUGCGGAGCGUUGUCCGGAAUUACGUGGGCGUAAAGAGUUCGUAGGCGGUUUGUCGCGUCGUUCGUGAAAACUUGGGGCUUAACUCCAAGCGUGCGGCGAUACGGGCAGACUUGAGUACUGACAGGGGAGACGUGGAAAUUCCUGGUGUAGCGGUGAAAUGCGCAGAUAUCAGGAGGAACACCGGUGGCGAAGGCGGGUCUCUGGGUAGUAACUGACGCUGAGGAACGAAAGCGUGGGUAGCGAACAGG